UACGUAGGGGGCAAGCGUUGUCCGGAAUCAUUGGGCGUAAAGAGCGUGUAGGCGGCCCGAUAAGUCCGCUGUGAAAGUCCAGGGCUCAACCCUGGAAUGCCGGUGGAUACUGUCGGGCUCGAGUCCGGAAGAGGUGAGUGGAAUUCCUGGUGUAGCGGUGAAAUGCGCAGAUAUCAGGAGGAACACCAACGGUGAAAACAGGUUGCUGGGGUUGUGCCGACGCUGAGACACGAAAGCCAGGGGAGCAAACGGG
rnacentral:rRNA from 1 species